rnacentral:rRNA from 1 species
CGUAGGUGGCAAGCGUUGUCCGGAUUUAUGGGUUUAAAGGGUGCGUAGGCGGAUCCGUAAGUCAGUGGUGAAAUCUCACAGCUUAACUGUGAAACUGCCAUUGAUACUGCGGGUCUUGAGUAAGGUAGAAGUGGCUGGAAUAAGUAGUGUAGCGGUGAAAUGCAUAGAUAUUACUUAGAACACCAAUUGCGAAGGCAGGUCACUAUGUCUUAACUGACGCUGAUGGACGAAAGCGUGGGGAGCGAACAGGAUUAGAUACCCUGGUAGUCCACGCCGUAAACGAUGCUAACUCGUUUUUGGGCUUUCGGGUUCAGAGACUAAGCGAAAGUGAUAAGUUAGCCACCUGGGGAGUACGUUCGCAAGAAUG